rnacentral:rRNA from 1 species
UGAGGAAUAUUGGACAAUGGGCGCAAGCCUGAUCCAGCCAUGCCGCGUGCAGGAAGAAGCAUCUAUGGUGUGUAAACUGCUUUUGUACGGGAAGAAACACUCCUUCGUGAAGGAGCUUGACGGUACCGUAAGAAUAAGGAUCGGCUAACUCCGUGCCAGCAGCCGCGGUAAUACGGAGGAUCCAAGCGUUAUCCGGAAUCAUUGGGUUUAAAGGGUCCGUAGGCGGUUUAGUAAGUCAGUGGUGAAAGCCCAUCGCUCAACGAUGGAACGGCCAUUGAUACUGCUAGACUUGAAUUAUUAGGAAGUAAUUAGAAUAUGUAGUGUAGCGGGGAAAUGCUAAGAUAUUACAUGGAAUACAAAGUGCGAAGGCAGGUUACUACUAAUGGAUUGACGCUGAUCGCCGAAAGCGGGGGGAGCGAAC